rfam:Cajanus cajan chromosome 8, whole genome shotgun sequence.
UUUGCCUUCAGAAUAACCAAUCGGUCCAUCAAACGCUGCCGUUUGGAUCAGACAAAGGCGCACAUUGAAUCUUAAACAUCCGAACUUGUUUGAGGGUGCGGAGCGCUUCUUCUCCUGUUCCUUACCUAGAUAUGUUCGGAUAUUC